CGCUGAACUUAAGCAUAUCA
rnacentral:rRNA from 3 species